UCUUAGACAAUGGGGGCAACCCUGAUCUAGCCAUGCCGCGUGAGUGAUGAAGGCCUUAGGGUUGUAAAGCUCUUUCAGCUGGGAAGAUAAUGACGGUACCAGCAGAAGAAGCCCCGGCUAACUCCGUGCCAGCAGCCGCGGUAAUACGGAGGGGGCUAGCGUUGUUCGGAAUUACUGGGCUUAAAGCGCACGUAGGCGGACUGGAAAGUUGGGGGUUAAAUCCCGGGGCUCAACCUCGGAACUGCCUCCAAAACUAUCAGUCUGGAGUUCGAGAGAGGUGAGUGGAAUACCGAGUGUAGAGGUGAAAUUCGUAGAUAUUCGGUGGAACACCAGUGGCGAAGGCGGCUCACUGGCUCGAUACUGACGCUGGGGUGCGAAAGCGUGGGGAGCAAACAGG
rnacentral:rRNA from 1 species